rnacentral:rRNA from 1 species
GACGUAGGGCGCGAGCGUUGUCCGGAUUUAUUGGGCGUAAAGAGCUCGUAGGCGGCUUGUCGCGUCGAAUGUGAAAACUCGGGGCUCAACUCCGAGCUUGCAUUCGAUACGGGCAGGCUAGAGUUCGGUAGGGGAGACUGGAAUUCCUGGUGUAGCGGUGAAAUGCGCAGAUAUCAGGAGGAACACCGAGUGGCAAGGCGGUCUCUGGGCCGAUACUGACGCUGAGGAGCGAAAGCGUGGGGAGCGAACAGG